AUGGCCUGGUCCCCUCUCCUCCUCACCCUCCUCGCUCGCUUCACAGGGUCCUGGGCCCAAUCUGUGCUGACUCAGCCUCCCUCAGUGUCUGGGACCCUGGGCCAGAGGGUCACCAUCUCCUGCACUGGAAGCAGCUCCAACAUUGGUGCUAAUUCUGUGAGCUGGCACCAACAGUUGCCGGGAAUAGCCCCUAAAACCAUCAUCUAUUGGAAUAAUGACAGACUCUCUGGGGUCCCUGAUCGAUUCUCUGGCUCCAAGUCUGGCAACUCAGCCACCUUGACCAUCUCUGAGCUCCAGGCUGAGGACGAGGCUGAUUAUUACUGCUCAUCCUGGGAUGACAGUCUCAGUGGAUUUAUUAAUGGGAAAGGAACAAAGAAGGCCAUCUAG